rnacentral:rRNA from 1 species
CAGCCGCCGCGGGAAUACGUAGUUCCCGAGCGUUGUCCGGAUUUAUUGGGCGUAAAGCGAGCGCAGGCGGUUUGAUAAGUCUGAAGUUAAAGGCUGUGGCUCAACCAUAGUUCGCUUUGGAAACUGUCAAACUUGAGUGCAGAAGGGGAGAGUGGAAUUCUAUGUGUAGCGGUGAAAUGCGUAGAUAUAUGGAGGAACACCGGUGGCGAAAGCGGCUCUCUGGUCUGUAACUGACGCUGAGGCUCGAAAGCGUGGGGAGCGAACAGGAUUAGAUACCCGAGUAGUCCCUGUCUCUUAUACA